rnacentral:lncRNA from 1 species
AAAAAUUCGAAAAAGUAACAGAAAUUAAAAAAAAAAGUGACGAACACUAAAAGAUUUACUUAAAACAAGUGACAAAUGCUAAAAAAAGUGAUUACAUUCUCCCUUCCUAGCAACAAAACUGACUAACAUCUAACUGCAGCCAGACUAAGAAACUUUAAAUUGAAAUAAUGGAUUGUGUCUUCUUUUGCGAUGCUUCUGGAUAUCACUUAUAAUUGGUGGCCAAUAUACAAGAGAGAGUGAAUUAACAUCAAAAGAGGAUUUCACGAACUGUCUCUAGCAACAUGUCCAUAGAGAGCUCCUCAUUAUCAAUUUUGUUUUUUUAAAAGGCACGAAUGCAACAGCAGUAUCACUAGCAACUGGCUGGCUAUUUCUUGUUAUUUCCUGCCAUUUCUGCAGUAGCAUCAGUGCAUCACCAACAUUUGCAAACCUAUUUAGUCAACCUGUGACAAAAAGUGUCAAGUACAUGGUCUUUAAGGGGAAAAAAGAGUAUAGAAAAUGUUAAAGAUAAGUUUAGUGUCUCUUUAAACUUUCAAGUAAAAAGGAUUGAAAAGUAAAACUCAGCCAACCCAACAAUGGCUUCGGGAGAAAAACAACUACCACAUUACAAACUAAUUUUGGUUCUUUUUGUCCACAUAAUUUAACUAAGGGCGACUUCCAAAAAUAUCUCUAAAAUUAAUGAUCUUUCGAAAAAUCAUAUAAAAGGUAUUUUGGAAGUAAAAAGUAAAGUGUAAAAUUAAGUGUCACUUUUGUUAUUUUUUUAAAAAUGACACAAUGUCGAUUUUUAAAGUUAAGUUGAACUUUUUAAUAAAAAAGUAGCAUGGUCAAUUUGUCCCUAAAACUAAAAAGAGUGACUAAAAAAGUGACAAAACGAUAAACACAUAUUCUAUUGCUAUUUCUAUAAUGAAGAAAUAAUUUAGGUUCUUUUUUCCUCGGACCCACUCCCAACGCCAAUUUAGACUAUAGGUCUCUUUCUGACUUUUUCAGCAUAAGAGGUCUUUUCUCUUUGCUUUUUUAGCGCAUCCAGGGCCCCGGCGCCCAGCUCAGCUGGAGAGGCCUAGCCUGAUCUGAGAAGUGCUAAUUCGCAAUUCCCUAAGAGGGGCCGAUAAGGCUGCUAACCCUAGUAAGAACCUUCUUGGAGACAAGUUACCUUUAGAUCUGUUGGUUUAUAAGGUCUUUUAACGGGCUAAUAUAGGGCUUAGAAAACUAAACCAUAUCCACCUAAAAUCCAUGUAGAAAAAUGAUUAACACAAAUUCUGAAGAAUAUUUCUACACAUUCCACACAUUUUUUUUUUUUUUAUCAUAAAUCUAGUAAAGCAUUAUGCAUUUGUAAUGGAAAUUUUACAAGAAAACAGAGCAUGGGAUAACCAGGGCCACGGAAAUAUAAAAUUCCAAGUUCCAAAAAGAAGAUUCAAUCAAGAACACAAAGGGAACUUUCUUGAAUCCAUUAAAUCCAUUCCUUCCCAUUAACAAAGAAUUACAGAAGGUGCCAUCAAAAGAGUGCCCAUUUUCAUAUAAAAAUAAGAUUCAAAUUCGGUUCAAGAGGAGUAACUAAAUUAAAAUCCUAAGAGAAUCAUAUUAAACCAUGAGAUAAUAUUUCAUUGUUCAUAAAUUCAGAUUCAAACUCAAUUAUAUUUUUUAUGCCAGUUCGUAUUAGAAUUUAAAACCUUGGAUCUUUAACAUCUAAUAAUAUGAGGAAAUUUAGGUAUAAAAUGAAAUAAAUUUCUCUUUGAUAUCUGAACUUUACAUAUGCAAACUCGAAAAUAAAUUCUUAGUGAUUUUACCUAUUCGCGGUUGAUUGAGAAUUUGAUCUGUGAAAUUUGUUCUUUGAUGUUUAAGAACUGGAGUUUUGUAUCCGCAAAAGGCCCGUAUGUAUAAAUUUGGAAAGGGCAAUUUAGAGGGUUUUAGAAAAGGAACGUAUUUUCU